UACGAAGGGGGCUAGCGUUGCUCGGAAUCACUGGGCGUAAAGCGCACGUAGGCGGCUUUUUAAGUUAGAGGUGAAAGCCCAGGGCUUAACCCUGGAAUUGCCUUUAAGACUGCAUCGCUAGAAUCGUGGAGAGGUGAGUAGAAUUCCGAGUGUAGAGGUGAAAUUCGUAGAUAUUCGGAAGAACACCAGUGGCGAAGGCGACUCACUGGACACGUAUUGACGCUGAGGUGCGAAAGCGUGGGGAGCAAACAGG
rnacentral:rRNA from 1 species